rnacentral:rRNA from 1 species
CCCUUAGAUGUUCUGGGCCGCACGCGUGCUACACUGAGUGGAUCAGCGGGUCAGGUUGCGCGAAAGCGUUUCCUAAUCUUUAAAUCCGCUCGUGAUGGGGAUUGACGGUUGCAAUUUUCUGUCAUGAACGAGGAAUACCUUGUAAGCGCGGGGCAUCAUCCCGCGCUGAAUACGUCCCUGCCCUUUGUACACACCGCCCGUCGCUCCUACCGAUUGAGUGGUCCGGUGAGGCUUUGGGAUCUGAGCGGAAAGAGCGUUUCGCUGUUUCUGCUCGGAAAACUCAGUCGAACCUUAUCAUUUAGAGGAAGGAGAAGUCGUAACA